AUGCUAUGUCAGUUCAUGGAAUGUCUACAAGGGCAGGAAGAGAUCUCAUUUCAGGGUGUACCACUCUCAGGAGAUGUCACAGGAAUGCAGCAGAGGCUACAGAGAAACAUCACCUCUGUCAUCACCACCACUGUGGAAGCCAUUAACACCAGAUUCGGCAGUCUCAUCAAUGAGGACUCCGAAGACUACUCUGCAGUGAAUUGCAUGAAAAUCUUUCAUCACGACACCUGGCCUGAGAAUACCAAUGAACUGGUUGAUUAUGGAAACGAUCAGUUGGAGGCCCUAAUGGAGCAUUUUCGUCAUGUCCUUACAAGCUCUGGAUGUCAGAUGGAUGCUUUGCCAGGGGAAUGGCAGAGUUUGAAGACCCUUUUAAAUUACUCUUACAGAACAUCAUACACCUUGUGGACAUACUGUUGGUCCUCCCAAUUUCUUCUGCACAGUGUGAGCGGGGCUUCUCUGCGCAGAAACGCCUCAAAAGCUCUUUGAGGAGCUGCUUGCAUGUCUCCACCACAGAGGAUCUUAUCAGGAUCACUACAGAGGGCCCCUCACUUGAAUUAUUUGAUCCCACUAAAUGUGCCGAAAACUGUCUGUCAGCUGGAAAAAGGUCACGUCGACCCAACUACAAGUCAUGGCCAAGUGAUUCCGAGUCCGACAUGAUUUUUGUGUAGCCUAAAUGUGAUAUUUUCUAUUUAUCUUUUUAGUAAAUCGGUGCUGUUUUGUGUAGCCUAAAUGUAAUCUUGUCUAUUUGUAUUAAUUUAGUUUUAGUAAGUUGGUGCUGUUGGUGCGGUUGGUGUGUGCAAUUUCUGCACCCUAAUAAAUGUUCUGAACAAAAACCUAUUGUGCCCCCGUUUUUUUUCCGGUGCUCCUACAUUUUUUAUCUUAGGGGCACGAGUGCUCCUGAAAAAAAAAGUUAGCGUAGAGCCCUGACCACAAGUAUAUAACUAUUAUAACUCCCAACUAGACGACCCCAAGCUUUCUAAGUAGCCGAUCUACUGUUUUCCCCUCAUCCAGCUCAAGAGUCCCCUUAAUUGUCUGCCCCCACCAGACGAGACCAAAUUUGCCUUGCAACAAUAGGGUAAUUGAAUAGCCGUUCAAAACCCCUCUUGACUUUAACAUUCAUACUGAAUCAGAGGUAUCUAAUACAUUUAUAUACACCC
rnacentral:lncRNA from 1 species